rnacentral:rRNA from 1 species
GAUGAACGCUAGCGGCAGGCUUAAUACAUGCGAGUCGAGGGGCAGCAUGACUGUAGCAAUACAGUUGAUGGCGACCGGCAAACGGGUGCGGAACACGUACAGAACCUUCCUUCGAGCAGGGAAUAGCCCAGAGAAAUUUGGAUUAAUGCCCCAUAGUACAGCGGAGUGGCAUCACUUUGUUGUUAAAGAUUUAUCACUUGAAGAUGGCUGUGCGGCUGAUUAGGUAGUUGGCGGGGUAACGGCCCACCAAGCCUGCGAUCAGUAACUGGUGUGAGAGCACGACCAGUCACACGGGCACUGAGACACGGGCCCGACUCCUACGGGAGGCAGCAGUAAGGAAUAUUGGUCAAUGGACGAAAGUCUGAACCAGCCAUGCCGCGUGGAGGAUGAAGGUCCUCUGGAUUGUAAACUUCUUUUAUAUGGGACGAAAAAAGGGUUUUCUAACUCGUCUGACGGUACCAUAUGAAUAAGCACCGGCUAACUCCGUGCCAGCCGCCGCCGUAAGAC